rnacentral:rRNA from 1 species
UACGGAGGGUGCAAACGUUGCUCGGAAUUAUUGGGCGUAAAGCGCACGUAGGCGGUCCAGCAAGUCGGGUGUGAAAGCCCUCGGCUUAACCGAGGAAGUGCAUUCGAAACUACUGGACUUGAAUACUGGAGAGGAUCGCGGAAUUCCCGAUGUAGAGGUGAAAUUCGUAGAUAUCGGGAGGAACACCAGUGGCGAAGGCGGGUCUCUGGACAGUUCCUGACGCUGAGGCACGAAGGCCAGGGGAGCAAACGGG